UGCUCUAUUCACCAGGCUGAUGGAGGAGGCCAGUCUGGACGAAAGAAGUAGUUCGCGUGGGAGUCUGGAAUGCGAACGUCCAUUGUACAUGCCGAGCGUCUGACACCCCUCGCGGUCACAGUCUGAAACCUGGGAGUGAAGGAAAGGGGGGAAUCUGCCGACCCCAGAUUGGAAGUUUCCCUUUUGUUCCAGAGGCGCUGGGGAGUCAUGGAAGGACCAGGUCUAGGACUUCUGGAGUCUUCUUCCCUUCACCCUCAUGUCCAGAUCAUCAGCAGGUCCUGUCAUUGGCACCCCGAGUCCUGUCUGAGCCGGUCCGGUUUUCCCUUUACUUCUGCCCCAGCGCAGCCUCUGUCCUCCUGCCCAGCGGGUCCCCGUCUUCCAUCUUCCAUUGUUCGUGUCCCCGGUGCCUGCCUCGCCCCAAACUGGGCUAAAAAUCCCUGUGUCUUCUCACUCACAGAAUAAAAAAACGGCUUCCUCUGACUUGGAGAGGCCUCUGCCCACACAUGCUCUCACCUCCCAGCUCAUCUUACUCUCGGUUCGCCCCUUGGCCCCCCGAGCCCUAGCUGCUCAGCCGUGCCACUUCUCAUUUCCAGUGUGGGGUCAGCAUGUGCCGUUACCUCUGCCGGGGAUGCUCGUCCCCUGCCGUCACUUUGAUGUCCCCUGCUCACCCCUGCCUCGGCAGGCGGUGUCCCUCAGCACUCUGAUGGCUGACGUUGUCCUUGUCUGUUGCUUGUCUCCCUUAGUGGAAUAGACUUGCCGGGAGGGGAGGGACCUUGCUGUCCUAUUCAUGGCUGUGUCUGGUGCUUCGAGCAGGCCUGGCACAUGGGGAUUGCUCAAUAAAUAGAUGAUGGAGUGAUACAGAAUGAGGAGCAAAGAAGGUGGCACAGAGGUGAUGGGCAUGGGGACUGAUGAUGAUGCUCCCGGUGUAGGACCUGUUGCAUUUGAGGUUUACCAAGAUUCAAAACACGAAGCUGACCAUGAAGCGGGACGGCAUCAGGUCAGUGAGGUACCAGGUCUUGGAGGUGUCUCGGCAGCCGCUCUUCACCAAUAUCACAGUGGACAUUGGGCGGCCCCCCUCAUGGCCCCCUCGGGGCUGACACCAGUGGACAAAGGCUCCCAGUGCCAAGGAUUGCCUGCCAGAGGACUGACCUACAGCCUGGCUGGCGGCUGCUCUGUGGCGGAUCCCCCAGGACUGAGACUGCGGGCUCUGUUUUCUGAGGGUCUUCAAUAGGCCCCCCCAGCUACACCUGGAAAUUUCAGGACCUACUCUGGGGGGCUUCCAUCCUGGGCAGGCCCCUCAAGUGUGGCCCUCCCUGGGGUCACCCCUUCUUCCUGCUCCUCCUUCCCCAGGCCAGCCCCCUUCACUGUCAGGGCUGGGCCAGCCCCUGCACUGCCUCACCGAGUGGCCUGGGCCAGGUCACUCCACCUCUCUGUGCCUCAGUUUCCCCCCUCCUUGAGUCCCCUAGGGCCUGGAAGAGCGGGAGGUAUGACUAGGGGGCAGUGUCGCUUCCAGGGGGACUUCUCAGACCUGGGGAUCCCCCAUGCUUCCAGGGGAGGGGAAACCUUUUACAUUCAACAUUGUGGGGGGCAAACGCUGGUGCGCCCCCUGCUGAGGAGCAGCCCCGGGAGGGGACCAGAGAGGGUGCUGUGUGGCUGCCUGGGACCUUGGGGAUGGGCUUUGCAUGGGGGGUGGGUGGGGCUUGGAUCAGGUGGGUUCCUGCCCCCCGCCCCUCAGAAAGAAGGCAGUAGCCCCAGGGCCGGCUCGUGUUUGUACAUUGCACAGAAACUUGUGUGGGUGCUUUAGUAAAAAAACGUGAAUGGAGCAGUCCCUUUGUCUCUUGGGGGAUGGGGAUCUGGAGCCCUAAACCCAGGCCCUGCGUGUGUGGUGGGAGGAGGCCUGGCUCGACCUAGCGGUCCGGCCGGGCCGUCCUGUUCCUCCAAGAACAGCGCUUCGCUAGUCCGCCAGCUGGAAGGGGGAAAGUUUACGCUGUCGCUGCCUCGCGGCCAGAAGAGCCAAAGAAGUAAUCACCCCGUGGGCUCAGAUUUCUCAGUGCUUUCACCUGCCCUGAAAGCGAAAGGCGCCCAGGGAUGGAAGGAACGUGGGGUCAGGGCGGGGCGGCUGGUUGACUCCAAAACCACCUACCA
rnacentral:lncRNA from 1 species